UACGUAGGUGGCAAGCGUUGUCCGGAUUUAUUGGGCGUAAAGGGAGCGCAGGUGGUUUCUUAAGUCUGAUGUGAAAGCCCACGGCUUAACCGUGGAGGGUCAUUGGAAACUGGGGAACUUGAGUGCAGAAGAGGAAAGUGGAAUUCCAAGUGUAGCGGUGGAAUGCGUAGAUAUUUGGAGGAACACCAGUGGCGAAGGUGACUUUCUGGUCUGUAACUGACACUGAGGCUCGAAAGCGUGGGGAGCGAACAGGAUUAGAUACCCCGGUAGUCCCUGAG
rnacentral:rRNA from 1 species